GGCCUGUCCAAAGUCGAAGGAACGCGUUUUUACGCAUCAAUUAAAAUAUUUCCAAAUUAAUAUUUUCCAUCGAUGAUUUUAUGAUUAUCAGGAGAUUUUCAAUUAAGUGUGGUGUUGUUUUAAUCUAUAUUAUUAUCUAUCUAGUAUUGUUGUUGUGAUGUGGGGGGAGGGGUGCGGCAGCCUCCUUUGAAAUCUACAGAAAGUGACGUCCACGUCGCCUUAAAUCUCGCUGUGCACUUGCUCUCGCCGUGGAGGUCGGUCCUGCGCCGCCGCGCUGACUCUCGUGAUCUCCCGUCAAAAAUGCUGAACUCACGGCUCCGCUCUCUUCUCUCUCCGGUCAGGUGCCCAAAAGGACUCAGAAAUCCCCGACAUGUUGGUCACACAUCCACGACACAGACGGAGGAGCACUUCGGUCAUAUUAUUCAUAAUAAUAAAUCCAUCCAUGCUUUCCAGGAAGUUCACAUCCAUCGCUGCACUACAACUUUUUCAAACUCCCUCUGUCCAAAUGAUGGAAUGCGCCUCUGCAGCUCCUGGUCAUUUCUUUCAAACUCCCCCACUUCUUUGCCCCCUUUUCUCCCCCCUAAACUCUUUUUUUUUCUAGCAGAGGGGCCCGGUAGCUGGCGCUUGAUUAAUAAAUGUUUAUGUGUUUUGAAGUGCGGGACAAAAGGGGUUGACCUGUGACCUCCAGGAGCCUCGACCUUGUGCGGGUUCAUUGUGAGGUGCUGGGAAAGGGUUUUUUUUUUUUUUUUUUUUUUUUGGAUGGAGACCCCGGGCUACUGACCCACACACAUCCCGGAGCCCUAUAGCCAUUCAUGUGCGCACUGCUGCACGCCGCCCCGCAGCUCCCAUUGUUUCAGCGGGAACAAUAGUUUUAACCCCCCCUACUCUCUCUCUCUUUCUCUCUCUCUCAAAAGAAGCUCCCCAAACUUCCCUCUGGAUGAAGCCUGACGCAAACCCGGGAAAAAUUUCUCACCAACCCUCCAAAUAAGACAAAAAAUGUUGACAAAACGUUGGCGCUGCUAGUAGUGCGCUCGGGUUGCAUCACACAAGCGUUGCAUCAUUGGAUUGACUGGAUUUUUUUUUUUUUUCUUGGAGCCGCCAAAGGCCAAGACUGUAACAGAGUGAAACAAUAAAGAAGAAACGGGGAGAAACUGUGAAACAUGGAGUGGGUGUUCAGGUCUGGAGACGACAGAAGGAGAGAGCUCGAAGAAAAAGAGCGCAGAUAACACCUGCGGGCUAUUUCUACCGCUGCAAUGAGAUAUAUAUUAAUAGGCUGUAGGUAUAAGCAGGCAUUAGCAGGCUCGUGCGUUCCGCCUUGGCUACGGGGUUAGUGAGGUUACGCAGAUGACAUCAUCCAUAGGCCCUGGUCUCGAUUGGAUCCUUGCCUGGAAGUCAAUCACUGCAGGAAGUGAAGGAGCAAUGCAGGACUGCACUGGCUGCAAUCAAUGAUCGCCUCGGUGUGCAUAAGACUAAUGAAAUCCAAAAAAGGAGGCAUGCGUGGCUGCAUGCAUGCAAACGCCAAAAAUAUAUGCAAAAGUUGAGAUGCACGUGAUUCAAUCAGAUUUAUAGGGAAUUAAAUAUCUAAUAGAAGCCGCAUAUUGGUGAUAAAUUGUGUGCGCAAACAGAAUAAAUACACUGUCCUCCAGAGCGCGCAUUCGGAUGUAUAAACUUGUGCAUGCGCGUGCACGUGGAGAGAGCGAGGGAGGCUGAGAAAGAGAGUGAUUUUACUCAUUGUAAUGUGCAGAACGACCUGCCCUCUUUUGGAAAAAAAAGAAGAAGAAGAAGAAGCGAGAAAGCACAGCCAUGCUUUGCAGAGGCAGCCGCGUCGCUCUCAUUAUCAGGCUCUCGCCAAAAACGGAGUCCAACCGAAUGAAACCGGGAAUACAAGCGUGUGCCUCCACCUCCACCUCCACCACCACCACCCAACGAUCUGCAGCUAAGUUAAGCGUUUUCAUCUGAGGGGGAUACAUACACUGGGAUCCACCAUAUGGCGUGGAGCACAUCAUGGUGCAUGAGUGGAGGACUUCUUUGGGCAAACCAGGAUGGAAACAGAUCAGUGGAGUCAUUUUUACGCGCAAAAAGCAACGUGGAGCAUAAAACCAGCAUCGCAUAAUGCUGACAGUGUCUCUGUUUAAUCAGUAAUCUUUAUCCUCAGUUGAAUGCGUCCUAAAAUAAGGUAGGAAUGAAUUAGAGGGCCGAAUGGAUCCAAGAUUUUUCUUUUUUUCUUUUUUGGCCAAACUGGAUUCUGAACGUGAAGGUUUGAAGAACGCAGAAGACGGAUACACACCGACAUCCGCACGCACGCAAAAAAACGCACAGAAGAGCGGGUUGUGUCUCUCCGUGUUCACAGCGGACCUUGAUUUAAUGUCUUACAAUUAAGGCACGCGGUGAAUGCCAAGAGAUGAUCCUCCAAUCCUCGAUCCAAAAAAGAGUUAAUUAAAAAAAUAAAGUUUGUCAUGUUUUAAAUGUAUGUGCAUAAACUGUAUUUCUAAACAAUAAAGAGAUUUCACUGAUGUAUAAA